AGGUGUUUCCAUGAUUCGACCUUUAAACAUUGCCCACAAACAUCAUAGACUCAAGAUUUGUAGCACACAUAUCUGUAGAAUGACCACUAUUUCCUCUAACCACACACUAAGUAUUUAUCUAUUGAAUUCCAUUUACUGUAGCUACGGGUGGUAUUGCACCCAAUUUUAUGUUGCUGAGUUAUGUAGUCAACUGAUUUUAUAAAGAAGCAAUCUGGGCAGAUAUUAUGGUAAACUGAUCC
rnacentral:lncRNA from 1 species